GAUGAACGCUAGCGGCAGGCCUAAUACAUGCAAGUCGGACGGGAUUUGGGAGCUUGCUCCCAAUGAGAGUGGCGCACGGGUGCGUAACACGUAUGUAACCUACCUUAAUCAGGGGGAUAGCCUCUCGAAAGAGAGAUUAACACCGCAUAAUAUAUUUUUAUGGCAUCGUAGAAAUAUCAAAUAUUUAUAGGAUUAAGAUGGGCAUGCGGAACAUUAGCUAGUUGGUAAGGUAACGGCUUACCAAGGCUACGAUGUUUAGGGGAUCUGAGAGGACGACCCCCCACACUGGUACUGAGACACGGACCAGACUCCUACGGGAGGCAGCAGUAAGGAAUAUUGGUCAAUGGGCGCAAGCCUGAACCGGCCAUGCCGCGUGCAGGAAGACGGCCCUAUGGGUUGUAAACUGCUUUUAUACCGGAAUAAACCCUUUUACGUGUAAAAGGCUGAAUGUACGGUAAGAAUAAGGAUCGGCUAACUCCGUGCCAGCCGCCGCAGUAA
rnacentral:rRNA from 1 species